AUUGAACGCUGGCGGCAUGCCUUACACAUGCAAGUCGAACGGUAACAGGUCUUCGGAUGCUGACGAGAGGCGAACGGGUGAGUAAUACAUCGGAACGUGCCUAGUAGUGGGGGAUAACUACUCGAAAGAGUGGCUACUACCGCAUGAGAUCUUCGGAUGAAAGCAGGGGAUCGCAAGACCUUGUGCUACUAGAGCGGCCGAUGGCAGAUUAGGUAGUUGGUGGGAUAAAAGCUUACCAAGCCGACGAUCUGGAGCUGGUCUGAGAGGACGAUCAGCCACACUGGGACUGAGACACGGCCCAGACUCCUACGGGAGGCAGCAGUGGGGAAUUUUGGACAAUGGGCGCAAGCCUGAUCCAGCAAUGCCGCGUGCAGGAUGAAGGCCUUCGGGUUGUAAACUGCUUUUGUACGGAACGAAAAGCCCUGGGUUAAUACCCUGGGGUCAUGACGGUACCGUAAGAAUAAGCACCGGCUAACUACGUGCCAGCCGCCGCGGUAACAC
rnacentral:rRNA from 1 species